ensembl:lncRNA
AUGCAAAACAACCAUCAGAGGCAUCAUUUGCUGAAAGUGAUGCUGAGAGCAUGUACAGUUCUGUGUUUUACCUUAAAGAAACAAAGGGUGGCCCUCUUCCUGCAUCUGGAGGUGUAUAUAUAUGUGAAGGUUGAGAAGCUACCUCCGACAACUCUCUGUGCAGCCUUCACCACCCUCUGUAGGGCUUUCCUCUCUGCCAUAGUGCAGUUUCUGUGCCACACGUUGAUGCCAGAGCAUAGAACACUCUCCACUGCACAUCUAUAAAAGGAGAUGAGAACUGAGCUUUCAAGUCCCGCCCGCCUCAGCUGCCUCAGGAAGUAAAGCCUCUGGUGAGCCUUCCUGAUCAGACUGGAAGUGUUGUUUUUCCAGGUGAGGUUAUUAUCUAGGUACAUACCCAGGUACUUGUAGCUGGGUACAACUUCGACUGCAGAUCCUCCAACGUACAGGGGUGUGUGUGUGUGUGUGUGUCUUCCCCUCCUGAAGUCCACAAUCAUCGCCUUUAUCUUCUUCUCAUUUAAACAGAGAUUUAAACAGAGAUGUUUUUCCUGCACCAGUCCUCCAAAUGUUCCACCUCCUUCCUGUAGCCGGUCUCAUCAUUGUUUGUGAUGCAUCCAACCAAAGCUGUGUCGUCCGCAAACUUUACAAUAUGACAGCCUGGAUGGUUAGGUGAGCGGUCAUAUGUAAGCAGUGUAAAUAGGAGGGGACUUAGCACCCAGCCCAGGAGACAUUGUGGAUCCUCACAGACUGUGGUUUGUUGGUCAGGAAGUCCAGAAUCCAGUUACAAAGAGAAGAGCUACUGGUGUGUAUGCGUACUGGUGUGGGUCUGAAGUGAUACUGAUGGUGGCUUUGAUGUGGGCCAUAAUCAGUCUCUCAAAGCACUUCAUGACAAUCGGCGUGAGGGCUACUGGCCGAUAGUCAUUUAGACCUGUCACAUGUAAAUACAUAUUAACUGCCUCGCUAAAUCAUUUCUGGUGAUUUAGGACCCUAGAUUUAUACCUUCAUACAUUUUUUUGCUCACGACCAACAUCUUGGCUUUAAAUAUAUUAUCUACUCCUGCUGGUAAUGCAACUACUCCAUGCGUGUCCAUUUCACGCUUUUGAGAGGCAAACAUCAAAUGGACAAUACAGGCUGAUGUGUCUAUUACAUGUUUUGCCGUGAUAUCCGGUUCAAUAUUUCAAAUAAAUUCUAACCAUAACAAGUCCUACUUGUGCUUGUACAUUUUAACCCGAUUUUAUUAUCUACAACAAAUCUAUUUCUAUGUCAUCUUAAAGAACAAGUUACUGUAACUUCUCAGAUCACAUGUCAUCCCUCUGUCAUGUGAAGGCUGUCAUGGUUAGCACAUUAGCAUAUUUUUUCAUCCUGAUAUUAUCUAAUCUAGUGUAACAAAAGUCAAAAACAUUUUAACUCGGUCAACAGCAGAUUUCUCAUGUUUUGUCUUUGUUUCUCAAACAGUUGCUAAAUGUGAUGAUGAGGAUGUGGCAUGCAGCUCUGCGGUUACUGUAAUUCAGCAAGCAAAGGGUACAAUUUGGGAGCUUUACCCAUUGUUACCCAUUGUUUAUAUAUUCUAGUUUUAAUAUGAUCAUUUUAGACUGUGUCAUAGAAAUUUAAUUAUCAAAGUCCGCAAACACAGUCAGCUGCAAUCAACACUUUUUUUUUUUUAAGUAUAAUGUGAUCAAGUUGAUCUUACAGAUGUUUGAGUUCAUUUUUGUUCACUGGAGUUGUUUGAAUAAAAGUUUGUUAACUUACUUUCUGUUUCUUCCUGUGGUUUUUCCUUUUAUGAAAGCUAUGAUAUGACCGUACCUCUGAUUAUGGAUUUGCUUUUUUUGUACUCAGACUGAUGAGAGGAUUUGUGGAGUUGUUCUUCUCAAGAAAG